rnacentral:rRNA from 1 species
UACGGAGGGGGCAAGCGUUGUUCGGAAUUACUGGGCGUAAAGGGCUCGUAGGCGGCCUACUAAGUCUGACGUGAAAUCCCUCGGCUUAACCGGGGAACUGCGUCCGAUACUGGAUGGCUUGAGUGUGGGAGAGGGAUGCGGAAUUCCAGGUGUAGCGGUGAAAUGCGUAGAUAUCUGGAGGAACACCGGUGGCGAAGGCGGCAUCCUGGACCACGAAUGACGCUGAGUGAGCGAAAGCCAGGGGAGCAAACGGG